rnacentral:rRNA from 1 species
AGAGUUUGAUCAUGGCUCAGAAUCAACGCUGGCGGCGUGCCUAACACAUGCAAGUCGAACGCGCAUCUGGGAAACUGGGUGUGAGUGGCGUCCGGGUGAGUAACACGUGGAUAAUCUACCUAGAGGUGGGGAAUAACUUUCCGAAAGGGGAGCUAAUACCGCAUAACAUUGCGUUGAGGAAUCUUGAUGCAAUCAAAGUAUGGGACCGCAAGGCCAUACGCCAUUAGAGGAGUCCGCGGCUGAUUAGCUAGUUGGUAAGGUAAAGGCUUACCAAGGCGACGAUCAGUAGCCGGCCUGAGAGGGCGAACGGCCACACUGGCACUGAAAUACGGGCCAGACUCCUACGGGAGGCAGCAGUGGGGAAUUUUGGGCAAUGGCCGAAAGGCUGACCCAGCAACGCCGCGUGAGGGAUGAAAUCUUUCGGGAUGUAAACCUCGCAAGUCAGGGAAGAAUAAACGCAUCUAAAUAGGAUGUGAUAUGACGGUACCUGACGUAAGCCCCGGCUAACUCCGUGCCAGCAGCCGCGGUA